rnacentral:lncRNA from 1 species
GUGCAGAGCUGCCUGCAGUCGACUGUUUGAAGCUUCGCAGUGUUCCCGGGCGAGAUGCAUCCUCAUCUUCAGUUCGGCGCCCAGUUGACCUUGGGGACGACUAUUAGGACCAGGUAGCUUGCUCUGGGCCCUAGCACGCAGAGCUCUGGAUUCCCAAAGCCUCAGGACCUAACUGAUAUCAGGCACUAUGCUCAUUCUACAAAGAGAUCAUGUUUGCAGAGUACUGACCACCAUCCAGGAAGAGAAGCUUUGUUUCUGAUGAGAACCUACUUCUGAC